CAAAGGAACGUUAUCACCGGCCGUUUCCAUGAAACUGGGUUUCAAAUUGGCAAUUUGAGAACUGUCUGGUCCGAGUUUAGAUGUUUGAAUCCUGAAGGUGAAGCGCGUUUGCAAAAGGUGAUGAUGGUUCUCCGAAUUGAAAUUCUAUCAACGCAGCCUUGUAAUGUAAUUUAAGUGUAUCGAUGAAAACCGCCUGCAAUGUCCAGCACUUUCAACAUUCUCUCAGCUCGCAAGAUAUUUGCAUCCCUUUAAAAUAGAAACAAUGUAAUCUUGAUUAUAUACCUAGGCACAAAGUAUACACUGUGUUUCAUAAAAGCGGGACUUUAAAAAAAAAUGUACAUUUAUAAGUUACGUUACGUUACGAUUUGGCUAUGUAAUAGAUUUAAGUUUUCCGGUACUACUUAUUCGUUUUCAUCGAUCAUGUAUAAAA